rnacentral:lncRNA from 1 species
GAAGUCUUUAAGAACAUACCAAAGCUGGAGCCUCAUCGCGGACCAACUGCAGUGUGGCUCCAGACAGGGGUCCAUUUUCAAAGCUCCCUGGAUGACUCUGCUGUGUCGGUCUACACGCACCCCAACUCGGCGUCCGCACUCAUCAACAGGGCUGGUGGCAUUGGCCCGGGGACUGGACAGAGCCCAGACGGACCACAGAGUGGGUGUGAUGCCCUCGUCUCUCCUCGCCAGCGGCUCCCUCCUCUCAGGGUGGUGGAUGUGGACUCAAGGAGAACCCAGCGUUCUGCUGAGGAGCAGGGGACUUGCCUGUGCCCUGCACACUUGGUGAUGACCUUCUGCUCUCCAGUGAGACGGCUGCUGUCCCCAAUCCCUUCUGCUGCCCAAACAGAAGUCUUCCAUGGGAGCCUGUGUCGGUAUCAUCAAGGGGUUCUGGUGGGCUUGCUAAAACACGAAACACUGGGCUUGACCCCCUGGGUCUCUGCAUCACUACGUCUGGGACGGGGAUGGAGAGUUUGCAUUCCUGACAAGUUCCCAGGUGAUGCUAACAGCGCUGGUCUGGGGUUUUUAACAAAGGCUCUGUUCUAAUCUUUCCCUCAACAUGUGUUUACUGAGACUCUCCUAGGGCCUUGCUACUAAAAGGUAGCACGUUCACUUGUCCGAUGAUGUGUGAGAAGCACCGUCCCGGGGAACGGACAUCUUCCUUCGAGAACGCCAUAGUCUCCGUGGCAGUUCUCAGGCUCAGCU